rnacentral:tRNA from 1 species
GGCUUGUUGGAUGAGUGGUUUAGUCAGGGGUCCGCAAAAUCUCGUAGGGCGGUUCGAUUCCGCCACAAGCCU